UACGUAGGGUGCAAGCGUUUGUCCGGAAUCAUUGGGCGUAAAGGGCGCGUAGGUGGCCCGGUCAGUUCGUGGUGAAAGCGCGGGGCUCAACCCUGCGUCGGCCAUGAAUACUGCCGCGGCUGGAGCACUGUAGAGGCAGGCGGAAUUCCGGGUGUAGCGGUGGAAUGCGUAGAGAUCCGGAAGAACACCGGUGGCGAAGGCGGCCUGCUGGGCAGUUGCUGGACACUGAGGCGCGACAGCGUGGGGAGCAACAGG
rnacentral:rRNA from 1 species